rnacentral:rRNA from 1 species
AUGAGACCAGCGGGGAAGACCACGGCUGCCACGGCGCACGCCCGAUCGGCCAGCCUGCCACACGAACACCCGCACCCCAUCAUGGCGCACCUGGACGACAGCAUCCGCACGCUCAGGUCAUGGUCGGCCAGAGCAACCGGCGGUCAGUCCUCCGGCAUUGCCCUCGUCGAUGCCGUCCUGGCAGCGCUCGGUGAGCUCCUGGCGCUGCCGCAGGCUGUGGCAGCACUCCACACAGCCACCGCCGCCUGCGACCAAAUCCUCGAAAGGAUCCUUGUGCUCGCUGACGCCUACGGCACAUUCCUGUCGGCGCUCGUCACGCUCAAGCAGAGCGUGGCGGAGCAGCAGGUCGGCACUAGGCGCGGGGACGGCAUGAUGGUCGCUGCAUCGCUCCGUGUACACAGGCGGACAGAGAAGGAGCUGUGCCGCCUCGUCACCAUGAUGCGACAUGCCGCCAGAGGCACGUUGAGGCCAUUGGAUACCACGAACAAUGAGGUGAUCGGCAUUGUGGCAGAUGUAGCCGUGGCCACUGUGGAAGCAUCGGAGACCAUCUUCAUGGAGUGUGCAGCAAUGUCACCGGACAUGCAAGUGCCUUCAAACAAGUGGCUGGCCAGGCUGAGUGUCAGGCCGUCCGCCAAGAAGGCAGCACCAGAGACAGCGAUGGUGGCGUUGGAGAGGCUAGAGAAGCUAGAGGAAUCCAUUGGUGGGCUGGAGACCGGAAGUGAGAAGGUUUUCAGAAGACUGCUGCAGUCUAGAGUUUCACUUCUGAACAUCCUUACUCCCUUCUAA